rnacentral:lncRNA from 1 species
GGCAUAUCUAGUAAAUAACCAAAACAAGUGUUCUUGAAAGCACUUAAUUGGGUUGGGGAUAAUAAAGACUUUAUCUAGGAUGGUAUCGUUGCAUCGCACAAGCUAUGGAACCGUAUCACACCAUAAUCGACAUUAUGUUGAGCAUAGUAAGGUCCAUUCUGCAAAAAAAAGUAUAUUAAUUGUCGUUAGAAUGAAGCUAGAUUUCAGCAUUACAAUAUAUAAUGUAACAUAUCAUAUAACUACAUUUUUAACAUACAAACUAC